GCAUGAUAUCAUUCCCCUUUUCAAAAUUCUUUGAUGAGUUUCAUCUCAUCUAAACACACAUAAAUAAAAACUAAAACCAAAACCUUAUCCAUACACACAUGACAUAGAGAUGAUGAACCCUUCAUCUCCUGCUCUCUCAUUUCAAAACUAGACAACACCCUAUCCCUUCUACCCUCACCCCCUCCCACUCGAAAUCCCGUGCAAACUUGUAAAAGCAGUUCAUCAACAACCCUGGUUCUCUUUCUCCCUCUUAUUUACAUCCAGCGAGACCACCGGCGGAGCCGGUGACCCUUCGACGUCUCCAUUCCUGCCGCCUCCUCACACACAGCCUAACACCCCCCUCUCGUCUCUAUGUUAAUCGCCGACCACCACCAUUGGUGGCGGCGCACGGCAGUGGCAGCAGAGCCCCGACGGCUCGAGGCGCUGGUGGUGAGCUUGCUGUUGAUGACGAUGGUGGACCCGUGAGCGACUGACAGAGGGAGAAAGAGCACAGUCCGCCGGCGGAGAUGGCAGCGGUGCAAGCGGUGACGAUGGCGGCGGAGGUAUCUCGGCGUCAGGUUUUGUUUCAGAGGACGAGUAAUUAAGGUCCGUUUCCAGGUUUUGUUUCAGAGCACGUGUAGUUCAGGUACGGUUUGAUUUUUCUGUUCAGUUUUGGUUCGAGUUUGAAUCGGGUUCAUUUUGAUCCAUGUCCGAUUGUUUUUUUGUAUUCUAGUGACUCGGGUCAAUUUGGUUUGGUGCUUUGUUUCAGUUUUGCUUUCGGGAUCGGUCAAAACUGAUCAGUUCGGUUCAACAGGUUUAGUUUCGGGCGGUUCAGUUCAGUUCCGUUAUGUUUUGUUUCGGUUCAGUCAACGAAGUCGCACCAGUCAACACAACCGGUGGACUGGUCAAUGCUAGUCAAGGAAAGUCAAUGGUCAGAUCUGGUGUUUCGGGCCAGAUUCAGACGGGUUAUGGAUCAAUGGUUACGGGUUCGGGUCAUCGGGUUAACCAUGAGACGUGAUACCUUACCGACGCGAAUGUUUAAAAAAUUAUUGUUUUGUAUUUGAUUAUCACGUAACCGUAUUAAAUUUAAAUUGUUAUAAAAAUACACAGAAAUGCAUAUAAAUACUCAUUCUUUUAUUACUGUUGAAUUUUGACAAAAAUAUUGACGACUUGUAUUGUCGGGAUCGUCCAUAAACAGAGGAAACUCUGCCCGUUUUUCGUAAAAAAUCCACGAAACAAUACGUGUUUAAUUUCAAAACGAUUAUUAUUUUGAUUCAUUUUCUUUUAUAACCAAAUCUCUAAAUUUAUAACAUAGAUGAAUAAUUCUUUUUAUAACAAUAAAUUUUUAUAUAUCAAGAUAAAAUAUAAAUACGAAAUCCAAAUUAUGGAAAACCUAAAUAUUAGGAUUAUUCUUUUUCAAAACCAAUAAAUAAUAAUGAAUUCGUGAUAUUUUAAAUAUUUAGGAUAAAUACUCUCGUUCGUUCUCUUGAAAUUCCGUUUACUCAUGCACCAUCGUUUGCCCUUAGGGUGACCUCGGUGUUCCGUCCUCCUAAACUCGUAUACUCGUCAACACUUGGAUAAUCGGAAGACUUAGCAAUUAUGUUGAGGAUUGAUGAUGCUAUGAAAAUGGACUAGAAAAGAUGCCUAGAUACUCACUUAGACGUUUAGGUUUAAAGUGUUGUAUCAAUUUUGUUAUUGUCAUGUUUGAACAAUGUUGUUAUUUAAGUUUCUUUGUAAUAUUUGACAAUUUUGGUACAAAAUGAAAUCGGUUGAAUUAAAUAUUGUCACAAAUAGUGUUACGAAGUC